UUAGCCAGUAAUACAUCACCCAAGGAUUUGCAUUCAUUCUGUUAUAGAUCCACAGGAACAGAUCCAACAUGAUUAUAGGAUUGUGUUCUACCAUCAUGUUUUCAUCCUGCUUGGUUUGGAUUUUGCCCUCUAUAGGAAUGCCCCCGGACAUGGUUUAUGGCACACCUCUGAUCGCUAUGCUCUGCCUCUAGUGAUUUCAUCAUAAAAAGCGGGGCUACAGAAGAAGAGGCCCGGACCCCAGGAAGGAGGCUGGUACUGUCAAUUUUCCAAUCAAAAGCAAGAAGGAAAAUUCAUCCAGCGUGAAAUAUGUUCUUGAUGGACCAGUUCACAGAAUGUGAAUAAAUCAUAAGUCAUUUUUAAGACGUUCACUGGUGCUUUAAAUUCACAGAUAUUAGAUAUAUUACCAGCACUGCAUUUGCCGGCUUAAAUAAACCCAGUAUGAA